rnacentral:ncRNA from 1 species
AUAAACUUCUCUAAUUAAUAUAUAUGUAAAUGAGUUUGGUGAUGGCUCUGAGUGAACGCUAACCAAAUGCUUGACACAUGCUAAUCGAACGACCAGUAUAUUUUUACAAAUUUACUGCUAGUGGUGUACAGGUGAGUAAAAGAUAAUGAAACCGCCCUGGAGUAAGGAGCAAAAUCCCUUAUAAUAUUAUGGUUUAAAUAAUAAAAAGAAGAUAUAGCUUUAGCUCAUCUUUCGCUCUUGGAAGUUAAUAUCUCGGGUAGUAGUAGUUAAGGUAAUAGUUAACUAGCAUAAUACGCGUAGUCGUGACUGAGAGGUUGAUCGACCACAGUGGGACCGAAUAAAUCCCAUGACGACUGUCUCAGCAGUGAGGAAUAUUGGUCAAUAGCCUAACGGCUGAACCAGCAACUUGGAGGAAUGUAUAGCGAGAGCUAGCUGCAUUAGCUUAGCGAAAGCUAAAUUGGUGCAGGAUUGUCUCGUCAAAUAAAGUUCCGGGUAGGUUAUGACGAUGACAUUUCCUAUCUGUGUGUCUUGACCAAAUUACGUGCCAGCAGUCGCGGUAAUACGUAGAAGACUAGUGUUAUUCAUCUUUAAUAGGUUUAAAGGGUACCUAGACGGUAAAUCAAGUCCAAUAAGGAUACUAAUUUGACUAGAGUUAUAUGUGAUGGGGCUAUAGAGUACUGAUUAGUGUAGAGAUGAAAUUCAAUCAUACAAUGUAAGGCACUGGCAAAGGCGAAAGCAUCUCCUUAUGUAAUAACUGACGUUGAGGGACGAAGGCUAUGUGCAGCAAAAAGGAUUAGAUACCCAAGUAGUCAUAGCAGAAAAUUAUGAAUGUCAUAGGAUGGAGACUUUUUCACUUUUUGCUUGUUUUGAUUGCAAAAAGCAAAAUAUAAAUAGAUCAGAAAAACAGGAACAAGAAAUUUUUUAUCUAUAAAUGAUAGUGUAAGCAUUCCACCUCAAGAGUAAUUUGGCAACAUUGGAACUGAAAUCAUUAGACCGUUUCUGAAACAAGUAGUGAAGUAUGUUGUUUAAUUUGAUGAUCCGCAAAAUACCUUACCACAAUUUGAAUAGAAACUUUUUUUAUACAAGCGCUGCACGGUUGUCUUCAGUUAAUGUCGUGAGAUCUUGGUUAGUUCCAUUAAAUUAACGUAAACCCUUACUUUAUUUUUAUAUAGAGUAGUUCGCCGUUAUAUUGGUUGAGAUAAAAGGGACUAAGACAAGUCAUCAUGGCCAAAAUAUUGUGGGCUAUAGACGUGCCACAUUUGCUUUACAAAGGGAUGCAAAAUUGCGAAAUUGAGCUAAUCCCCUAAAAAUGGAUAAAAACUUAAUGGAUUGUAGUCUGUAAUUCGACUGCAUGAAAAAGGAAUUACUAGUAAUCGUGAAUAACUACGUCACGGUGAAACAUAUCUCAGAUAGGUACUAACUACUCGUCAGGCGCUGAAAGAAGUAUGUGCAAUAAGUUUGGCUACGAUUUUUUUUUAUUCUAAGCAAUAGGGUCUAGAUAUGAAAAUUAAUAGUUUUCGUAUGCGUGACUUUAAUUAGUGUUAAGUCGAAAUACGGUUCGUGUAGUGGAAAUUGCACGGGAUUAAUUAA